CAAGCUGAAUCUUAUAGAAGUUAAUUUAUUUACAUUAGAUUAUAUGUCGUGCAAUUCGAUACAGUUUGA
rnacentral:tRNA from 1 species